GUGUUCGCUUUGGCAGCACAUCUACUAGAACUGGAAUGAUACAGGGAUGAUUGUGGCCCCUGCACAAAGAUGACAUGCACAUUCUUGAAGCAUCCCAACAUAAAACUUAUUU
rnacentral:snRNA from 2 species